rnacentral:ncRNA from 1 species
UGAUAGCUGUGAAGCGUGAGGUUGCUGUCCGGGAAAAUACAUAAUUCCGGCAGGUUUUCCGUGGAGCGAAUGUCAAGUUAGAAAACUGACGACAA